rnacentral:tRNA from 1 species
GCAGUCGUGGCCUACUGGUUAGGGGCUUUGGGCUUGGAACCGAAGGAUUGCCGGUUUGAUCCCCGACCAGUGGG